GAAAGUCUUAGCCUUCAGCCUCCCCAGCCUGUCAGCUGUUCCAGAAGCCUGUCAGCUGCCCCUUAGUUUUCUGCUGUGUCCUCAAAGAAGCACUGGGACCCUAAAAUAAACCUCUGGAGAGCCAGUUGCCCAACUCUUCCAGAAGAGAGACUAGACACGCAGCUGGGCAUGCGGCCAGAGCCCAAGAAAAGCCUGGUUUGCCAGGGGCAGAUUACAGUCAACGGGAGCAGUAAGUGCCUCUGCCCUCUCCCUCACGGGUCCUUCUCUUUUCUAGAGGGGAGUCCAGCACGUGCCAGCCCCAGGAGGUCUCACUCCCUUGCCAGCCUCCCGACUCAAUUCCCAGGACUGGGGCACUUGGCUUCCCAGAGUUGGUGGCUGCCAAAGUGACUCCGUGCAGCGGGAAGAUCCGUGACUCAGCGCCCGUGAUGUCAGUCCCUUCAUAGUCAGGGCACUGUCAUCCACACAUGCACCCGCGGGGGUGGGGGGAGGACCAGGCGAGGUGGACCCCCAAUGCAGAGGGAGAAGAGGGGCGCUGGUACAAAGGACUCCCCAGGCGGGUACAUCACCCCGCUGGGGCGCGCCCUCUCGGGCAGUCUCCCCUUAGAGUAACCUGGGACGCGGUUGUGUAAAGGCUCCUGGGGGCACUGGGAAGGAAGCUCGAGAGUCAGGUUUGCAAGGACACAGUCCUGUACACAGACCGCAGGGUUCCCGCACAGCUUCACCGGGCAUUCCGGGGAGCGCUCCGGACCAAGGGAGCAAGCGCAGCAGGGGGCGCAAGAGCCACUACCCGCGACCACACAGCUAGGCCAAUCCUAACCCAGAUCAAAGAUCCUGGGACAGCUGGAACAGGCAUGGCCUAAUGGAACUCCCAAGUGGACAGGGCCAGGCAUGGACGGACAGAGCUUCUGAAACAGUCCUCAGACCCCGUGCAUCUGGAUCUUUCUGUAGGAACCACCCAUCAGCAGUGCCAGACAGAACCAAGCACAUGCACUGAUCCACCGCACGAUGGGAGCUGGUGUGGGUGAGCUUGUUUGCUUUAGCCAUGCCCACAGACAGGAACAGAAGAGCACAGUGGAGGCCACCAGCCCUCUCGCCUGCUAUUUCAAAAGGGGUUGCAGCAGGGCUGGAAAGCGGUUCCCACUGUGGUUGCCCCCUUCCUCUCUGUGGCACACACAGACCUGAAAAUAACCAGAGAGGGACUGUGAGCUGCCAGCCUAAAACAGGAAGGCUGCAGAAAGUCCUAGGCUCAGAUAGGAGAGUUUAAAAGAAUGUUGAAACCAAGAACGGGCAUCACAGAUCCCACCUGUCUCUGCACCAAAGCAGACCUCCCCCUCUCUAAUCUACUGGUGGGGAGCCUGUGUGCUCUGUAGUCAUGCAGAUCCCAGCUUUACCACUUGCUGGCUGUGUGACUUAAGCAAGCUAUUUAACUUCUCUGAACCCCUAUUUCCUGAUUUGUAAGAUAAGCGCAGCAAUAUACAAAGUUUUAGUGUUGUGGUUCACAUGAAAAAAUUUAAUCCUGGCCAGGCCGGACGUGGUGCCUCACACCUGUAAUUCCAGCACUUUGGGAGGCCAAGGUGGGCAGAUCAUGAGGUCAGGAGUUCGAGACCAGCCUGACCAACAUGGUAAAACCACAUCUCUACUAAAAAUACAAAAAUUAGCCGGGCAUGGUGGUGCGUACCGGUAGUCCCAGCUACUCAGGAGGCUGAGGCAGGAGAAUCACUUGAACCCAGGAGGCGGAGGUUGCAGUGAACCGAGAUGGCACCACUGCACUCCAGCCUGGGCAAGAAGAACGAAACUCCCUCUCAAAAAAAAGAAAAGAAAAAGAAAAAAGAAAGAGAAGAAAGCAUACCUGCACAAUUCAGCCUGACCUGCCCUCACCCAGACAACAGAAGGAACAAUGAAGACUUUAGUUGUCUGAGCCAGAACACUUCUCAGAUAACUGUGCUGCUUACAAAUUGCUUUACAUACACAAUCUCCUCUGAAAUUCUCAACCCUGAAUGCUGGGAGACAUUGCCCCCAAUUUUCAGAUGAGUAGACUGAGGCUAACAGAGGUAAAGUGGCUUGUUCAAAACUGCACUACUAGUAACUGGCAGCUCCAGGGUGAGGUCUGGCUCCUGGCCCAGGACUCUCACUGAGCAAGGGCUCGGUCGGCCCACCCAGGACCAAAGACACUGCAGACCAUGGCAGCAGGCACUUGGUGUUCUGUAGUCUGUGAGGGGAGAGCAGAGAGCAGAACCUGGUGUGUGGGACACCCUCUCCUUCACCGGUGUUCCUGCAGGGACCCUCCGUCUCCUGUAAAGGGGGAAGCCCUAGGCUGACUCCCAGCAAGCAAGUCCUCUCUCACCUUUCACCUGAAGCGAUGAAGCAUCUUAAAGUUUGCCUAAAGCAGAAGUCUACAGGAGACCCACAGAAUAAAUAUGUAAGGUUAUUUUGAAACCAAAAGGGACUUGGUCAUCAUUGCUUCUCCUCCCUCACUUUUUAGAUAAGGAGCUAGGCCUCAAGAAGAGAAGUUGCUUGGUAAAGAUGGCACAGGCAGUGGUGACAGAGCUGGUCAAGAUCCCAGAUACCCUGACUCAAAGUGGUCUUUUUAAAUUCCCACCCUGCCCCCAACCUCCAGGUCUGGGCUGAUGUGUUGGGGCCAUUCUCAACUGUGAGAGUUUAAAACUAUGCACUUUAUUCUCUAUUCACCAUGUGAAUCCAUCUUUAGGGACAACGAUUAUUCUGAGAAGUGCAGUGGGGUAGGGCUGAACUGACCUGCAGACCCCUCCCUGGCCUCUGGCCCUGGAGCCAGCCCCUGGUUAAUCAAUAAUUACAGGAAGGUGCUUCUUAUUCUCUGAAACCUUCCCCUCCUGCUUUCUCAUCAGCCUGGGAGGAGGUUACGUGGGCAGACAGAGGUCUAAUAACAGAACUCAGUGUCUGGCCAGUGGCAUCCCUCAGAGUCAGGCCCCAGCCAGGGCCCACUGAGGGCCUCAGCCUGCCUGUGGAGACCCUCGCUUUCACAGUGGAGGAAUGCAGCAUCCCUGGCUCCGGCAGCAUGACAGUCUGGCUCCCCAUUGCCUCACCAGGUGAGUUUACACCCAGAAAAGGGAUUUGUUUAGCACCAUUCUCAGAAAGGGUUCAUAAAAGUUUAUCCCCUUCUUGUAAUAUUUAGAGAAUGUUAUGAUUUUUAACUGCUAAAAAGCAUCACAGUUAUAGCUGGGCAUAGUGGCACAUGCCUGUAGUCUCAGCUGCUUGGGAGAUUGAGGCAGGAGAACUGCAUGAGCCCAGGAGGUCAAGGCUGCAGUGACCUAUGAUUACACCUUUGGCACUCCAGCCUGGGCCACCGAGCAAGACCCCGUCUUUAAAAAUAAAAAUAAAAAUAGGGCCAGGCACAAUGCCUCACACCUGUAAUCCCAACACUUUGGGAGGCCAAGGCGGG
rnacentral:lncRNA from 10 species